rnacentral:rRNA from 1 species
AGUGAACGCUGGCGGUAGGCCUAACACAUGCAAGUCGAACGGCAGCACAGUAAGAGCUUGCUCUUACGGGUGGCGAGUGGCGGACGGGUGAGGAAUACAUCGGAAUCUACUUUUUCGUGGGGGAUAACGUAGGGAAACUUACGCUAAUACCGCAUACGACCUACGGGUGAAAUCAGGGGAUCUUCGGACCUUGCGCGAUUGAAUGAGCCGAUGUCGGAUUAGCUAGUUGGCGGGGUAAAGGCCCACCAAGGCGACGAUCCGUAGCUGGUCUGAGAGGAUGAUCAGCCACACUGGAACUGAGACACGGUCCAGACUCCUACGGGAGGCAGCAGUGGGGAAUAUUGGACAAUGGGCGCAAGCCUGAUCCAGCAAUACCGCGUGGGUGAAGAAGGCCUUCGGGUUGUAAAGCCCUUUUGUUGGGAAAGAAAAGCAGCAGGUUAAUACCCCGCUGUUCUGACGGUACCCAAAGAAUAAGCACCGGCUAACUUCGUG